rnacentral:lncRNA from 1 species
GGCAGUGCAUGUUUAUGGAACGGUGAAACGGUUGAAAGUGCUAUGGUGGAGUGAAUCUAGCUUAGAAGGCCUUCACCAUGGGAAGGAAGCUAGAGGAUAAGGUGGAAGAAGCACAAGAAUAUGACUCUCGAUGGAGAGAAGAUGUUGGAAAUGCUUCAGCAUAUCUAUUCUCUCAAAUAUCCAAAAGUGAAUACAUGGGCAGCCAAGGUGAGUUAUGUAGACUCCUCAACCUUUAGCUUGGUGAUGAAAAUGUGUUCAGCCAAUAUGAAUCAUGUUUCCUAACUCUAAGACAUGUGCUAAAUGUGCUAGCUUCUAGAAUCUAUAUGGAGUACACGUUUAUUUCAAUUUCUAAAAUAAGAAAGUUCUCGGUGCACCCCCUGUCAAGCUAAUCUCACCCCUGCAUGUGCAUAAAGGUCUCUUUUACUCCUCUCCAUUUUUUUGGGGUUGUUCUUUAUUUGGUGGGCUUGGGCCCUGCGUAUCAUCCCCUCCCCCUUGGAAAGGAUUUGUCCUCAAAUCUGAUGGUUCGCUUGAGGACUUAUUUUUGUAGACAUCACUAGAAUUUCGCUAGGGUCAAAUAUCCACCUACAAUAAGCAUUAAACAUAUCACUAAUUAGUUUUCUAUGACUCCACAGAAUAUAUAAAAGAACAUGUUUAGAAGAAGGUUUCUUAAUUUUAAAAUGUUCAAGUUUAAUACUAUUAAGAAACCUUUCUUCUUUUGAAAUUUUAUUUGUUUCUUGAGUUAGUGGUACCCAUAAAAGUAACCCUAACCCAAGUUGUGAAUUGCCAUGUAUUGAAGGUUUUAUUUUUAAAGAUGACAUGGCAAAUUCUUGGAGAGAAAAGUGAUAUUUUGGACUUUCAAAAAUAAAUGAAGAAAAGUGAAAGGAUAGAAAACCUCCCCUUAAUAGUUUUGAUUCCAUUGUGGUUGGAGGAGAUAUUGCUCUUAGUUGCUUUUGUUCACUUUCUUCCACUUCUUUUCUAUCAAUUUCUUCUUUGUCUUCUCUUUCUUUUUCUUUUAUUCUCUCUUCCUCUUUUCUUCUCUCUUCUUCUCUUUCCUCUUCCUCUCUUUUUCUUCUCGCUUCUUCUUUUCUUCUCUCUUCUUCUCUUUCCUCUUCCUCUCUUUUUCUUCUUUCUUCAUCUUCUCUCCUUUCCCUCUCUCUUCUUUCUUUCUCUCUUCUUUGAAUUUCUCUUUCUCUUUUCUUAUCCUUUAGUUCUUGAAGUCUGGCUCCAAAUUCUAUUUCUCUCCGAAAGAAACCUUGAUCUUUUAAACUCGCAAGAAAUAAUUUUCCCUCUUGAAUACUAUCUUUCAUAAGUUCCAAGUUUCUUUUAAUCAAAGGAGGUACAAACUUGCUUCUCAUGCACGAUCUCAAUUCAUAGCAAUUUUCAAUGGUGGAUUUUCUACCUUGAUGAACCCAAUAUUGCCUUUCAUCCCACCACUCUAGUGCAUGCUUUUCUAAUCUAGAGAGAUAUAAACUAAGAACACGAGAUUCACACUCUCUAGAAAGAACAAUCGUACUAUAAGACUCAAGUUCACUUUGCCUAAUAAGGACUGGAUGCAUUUGAUUAAUUUCUUUUUCCCAAACUAGAUAUGUUAAGACAUUUGUAUCUUUACCAAAGAAGGGAAUUUUUCUAGCUUUAGUACACAAAUCAUCCUUAAUGUAUGAAUUAGACAUCCUAGAUGAAUAACAAGACAUUUUUGUUUCUAAAAGUUUUCUUGUGUUACAACUACUUAGAUUUCACCAAAGAACAAAUUCCAGGUAAGGGAGGUGAACCACUAGGGUUGCUUAAGUACCAAGCCUUUUCCUUGCCAAAAGUGUUCUAGGCUACUUACUUAGUUAUUGUAACUCAAAGAUCACUUUUAUGAUCACAAAAGAUGACUCAAAUAAUAAAAGAAAAUGCUAGGACUCUAAUGUCGGACUCUAAGGUGACCCCUAUGCGUGAAACACCAAUUUAAACACAUGUAAGAAAAGUUUUGCCAAGAGUUGAAAGAGCACCAAGGACUCUUCCAAAACACUUGGACUUUGAAUGGCCUUUUACAAAUAAAAGAAAACUAACACAAAAACCUAUUACAAAAUAAACAAAACAACUCAAGUGUUGCUGUCACGGUUUUGGUCCAAAGUAUUUGUGCUUGACUACUUCUGGACAGAUUCUGGUCAACUUUAGUUCUCCUUGCUUUUGGACUCAACUCUCACUUUCUCAAUUUUUCUUGUUGCAACCUUACGGAUUCUCCUUUGCUUUUCAAAACUACACAAACAAUGUAUAUCAAAUUCAAUAGGCAACUAAUAAUACUAUUACAAAAUUGUACCACAAAUUAAGAAUUCUUCCCUUUUAGCUCUCGGCCUUGCACAAUUGAUGUGGAGAAUGAAUUCAAUUUUCUUCUCAAAUUACAUUCUGCUGCACUAAUAAUCCAAUUUCCAUCAAACAACAUCUACAAUGUUGGAAUAGCAAUCAGCAGACGAAGUGUUAGUGAAUCGUGGCAGCGGCUGGUGAUGUUUCAGUGGUUCUUAUAAGCAUUGUUGCAGGUUGAUGUUCAACACUUUCCACGGUUCAGUGAUUUUACAAUCAACUGCUGCUGUAUUUUUUGUUGUUUGAAACUGUCCAGUUUCGGCACUAACUAGCAGCCAUGUGUGCUUCCAAUUUACCAACUGUUUGAGCUUAUCAACAACAGGUUUAAAUCCUACAUCAUGAGAUUACUCCAAGAACAAAAACUAUUCCAGACUUGUGCAACAAAAUUUAGUGAAUUUAAUUGGCCAAAAUCAUUGGCUGAACAGCUAGAGAUGAAGAGUCAAACUGACCAAAACAGUGUUAUAUGGAAACUGCAAUUUGACUAGCUACACAAGUCCAAAAUAAUGUCCAAUUAAUCAAAAUAAAACUAGUUUUCUCAAUUUUGUUCCAAAAGUCAAUUUGACUAUGUAAGUUGCACUUUAAUAAGUAAAUGCACAAAAUCUGGUGAUGUUAGAAAAUUCACUUCAGAAUUUGGAUGAUAUGUAAUGAUCAAAAUAUUUGUAGAUUUGAAAUGAUGCAAUGGUGAAAUUGAGCUUAUCAGUUAAAAUGGAAGUUGAACAAAUGCAGCAGUUUAUUUCCUAGACAAGACAGUUUAAAGAGAAGGGGUAGGCAAUUGCAACGUUGGCUUCUUUUAAGGAAAUUCUGCUUGAUAUUCUCGCAGUACACAAUUCUCACAGUUGCAUGAAAGUGAAGCUUUUAAUUUUGGCUGCAAGGAACGGUCUGAAGCAAGCUGCUGUUGCAGCAAAUGAUGUAGUUCAGCAGGCCAAUUCUGCAGCACCGAGAGCCCCAACUUCUUUGUGAUUUCCGCCCCUUAUCCACUCCCUAAUAUGCUACCAAUGGUUUAGGAUCUCAGCUAGAUCAAUUUCCCUAUAAUGACACUUCAACCAGAUCACAAAUCCUUCCAGAGAUUAGUGCACAAAACGUUGCUGCUGCACAGAAAUGGUGCAACACAAAACUGUACUACAACACCUUUUAACAAACAGGUGGUAGGCAAGAGUGCCAAUAAUGACUUUAAAGCAAGAAAAUGGUUGAUGAACACGGUAGCACAGCAAAAGGAACUUAAGAAAUGUUCUAGAGUAGAUUUAGAAAGCAAUAAAACAGUUAAAAGUCAAAAUGAAGUGCAAAUCAGUGAUGCUAUGGAGAAUUGACAAUCUGUUUGUGAAAAGGUCUCAAUGAAAGUCCAAUUUGGUUCCAAAUUUAUGAUUCUACUUUGUGCAGAUUUUCGAAAUUAUGUUGAACGGAUCCAAUGAGCUUUUUAACUUUCAUUUCAAUUCUUUUAAAUGUUAUAUUUCUUUUAUAUGGAUUCCAGCUUUUGCUACAACAUUCAAAUAAUGUUCAAUGCACCAAAUCAAGCUUCAAAAUAGUGUAAUUUCUGCAGCACUCAUUUGAACUAACAACAGAUGCUCAAAAAUGGAUGAAUUGACUAGUGAACAUGCACAGAACUGAUUACAGUCAUAUUAUCUUUGCACAAACAGGUUUAAUUGACGAAUUUAAACUUGUUUGACAGAGAAUUUUGGACAGAUUCAGAGUAUAUCAUAAUUUGACAUGUUUAGUUCAUGGUGCACUUCAAAUAAUCAACUCUAGUAUCCCACUUUUAAAUUAUCACUUAAACCAGACUUGUAUCAAUGAAAAAAAGAUUCAAAAUAGUGAUGGAAAAUUGCUUAGACAGCAGGAGGACAUUUUUAAAUGGUUGGCAAAGAACUAGGUGCUCAAACCAGAUUGGACACACGGACACAACUUCCAAAUUAGGUGCAGUUCGGUCUACUGCUACUUGAAAUGCACUUUGAACUUUCCAGUUAUAUAAUCAAGCUAAUUGCAAAAGCAAUCUCAAGCUCAUGUGGUAGUUAUUCUGGACUAGUUCAGCAAACGCAUUUUAACACAUUACUCAAUAGCAUUUAAAUCCAAAAACAACCGAUAAAACAGUAAUAUCAGAGACUGCAGCGUCAAAACAAUUGACUUAUUUUUUUUUUCAGAUCUGAUUGCGCAGAUUGCCACCGAGCUCAUUCACUUGAACUUCAUUGCUCUUUAAUGAUGAACAACAUGUAUUUGCAAAUUCAGAAUCACUUGAUGCAGACACAACUCACAACUUACACAGAAUUGAAGACAAGCAAAAAUCAAUGCAUACAAUGCACAAAACUUGACAGAUCUGGAUGGAUUACAAAACUAAAAGACUCAAAUCUGAUGUGACCGAAUAAAAUGAUGAAAAACAAAGCAAAAUAAAGCUAGCACAAAAGAAAUGACACAAUCAGAACCUAAGAAUGAACAGAAAAUGAAUGGAACAGUACACAAGAAACAGGACAGUACAGGAACUGUAAUGACAAUGCGGAUCUGAAAAGAAAACUUAGCUCACGGUUGCAUCUGGAACCUAGCUCUGAAUACCAAAUGAUAGCUCCAGCUUUGGGCUAUUCCUCAUAUCCGUGAGAUCCAGAUGUAGAGACGUAGUUGCAGCGAAAGAAAAUGGAGAUAAGAUGAAAAGCUGCAGCGGCAGUGCAUGUUUAUGGUACGGUGAAACGGUUGAAAGUGCUAUGGUGGAGUGAAUCUAGCUCAGAUGGCCUUCACCAUGGGAAGGAAGCUAGAGGAUAAGGUGGAAGAAGCACAAGAAUAUGACUCUUGGUGGAGAGAAGACGCUGGAAAUGCUUCAGCAUAUCUAUUCUCUCAAAUAUCCAAAAGUGAAUACAUGGGCAGCCAAGGUGAGUUAUAUAGACUCCUCAACCUUCAGCUUGGUGAUGAAAACGUG